rnacentral:rRNA from 1 species
GAUGAACGCUGGCGGCGUGCCUAAUACAUGCAAGUCGAGCGAACGGACGAGAAGCUUGCUUCUCUGAUGUUAGCGGCGGACGGGUGAGUAACACGUGGAUAACCUACCUAUAAGACUGGGAUAACUUCGGGAAACCGUAGCUAAUACCGGAUAAUAUUUUGAACCGCAUGGUUCAAAAGUGAAAGACGGUCUUGCUGUCACUUAUAGAUGGAUCCGCGCUGCAUUAGCUAGUUGGUAAGGUAACGGCUUACCAAGGCAACGAUGCAUAGCCGACCUGAGAGGGUGAUCGGCCACACUGGAACUGGGACACGGUCCAGACUCCUACGGGAGGCAGCAGUAGGGAAUCUUCCGCAAUGGGCGAAAGCCUGACGGAGCAACGCCGCGUGAGUGAUGAAGGUCUUCGGAUCGUAAAACUCUGUUAUUAGGGAAGAACGUAUGUGUAAGUAACUGUGCACAUCUUGACGGUACCUAAUCAGAAAGCCACGGCUAACUACGUG